rnacentral:rRNA from 1 species
UACGGGGGGGGCAAGCGUUGUUCGGAAUUACUGGGCGUAAAGGGCGCGUAGGCGGCCUGUUAAGUCGAACGUGAAAUCCCCGGGCUCAACCCGGGAACUGCGUCCGAUACUGGCAGGCUUGAAUCCGGGAGAGGGAUGCGGAAUUCCAGGUGUAGCGGUGAGAUGCGUAGAUAUCUGGAGGAACACCGGUGGCGAAGGCGGCAUCCUGGACCGGCAUUGACGCUGAGGCGCGAAAGCCAGGGGAGCAAACGGG